rnacentral:rRNA from 1 species
AUUGAACGCUGGCGGCAGGCUUAACACAUGCAAGUCGAGCGAGCGGCGGACGGGUGAGUAAUGUCUGGGAAACUGCCUGAUGGAGGGGGAUAACUACUGGAACCGGUAGCUAAUACCGCAUACCAUCAGAUGUGCCCAGAUGGGAUUAGCUAGUAGGUGGGGUAAUGGCUCACCUAGGCGACGAUCCCUAGCUGGUCUGAGAGGAUGACCAGCCACACGGGAAGUUAGCCACGGUCCAGGCUCCUACGGGAGGCAGCAGGGGGGAAUAUUGCACAAUGGGCGGAAGUCUGAUGCAGCCAGGCCGCGUGUGUGAAGAAGGCCUUCGGGGUGUAAAGCACGUUCAGCGAGGAGGCGUUACUCGCAGAAGAAGCACCGGCUAACUCCGUGCCAGCAGCCGCGGUAAUAC